rnacentral:rRNA from 1 species
GACGUAGGGCGCGAGCGUUGUCCGGAUUUAUUGGGCGUAAAGAGCUCGUAGGCGGCUCAUUGCGUCAACCGUGAAAACCUGCCGCUCAACGGUAGGCUUGCGGUUGAUACGGGUGGGCUGGAGUUCGGUAGGGGAGACUGGAAUUCCUGGUGUAGCGGUGAAAUGCGCAGAUAUCAGGAGGAACACCAAUGGCGAAGGCAGCACUCUGGGACGUGACUGACGCUGAGGAGCGAAAGCGUGGGGAGCGAACAGG